rnacentral:rRNA from 1 species
UACAGAGGUCCCGAGCGUUGUUCGGAUUCACUGGGCGUAAAGGGUGCGUAGGUGGUGAGGUAAGUCGGAUGUGAAAUCUCCGAGCUCAACUCGGAAAUGGCAUUGGAAACUACCUUGCUCGAGGGUUGGAGGGGGACUGGAAUACUUGGUGUAGCAGUGAAAUGCGUAGAUAUCAAGUGGAACACCAGUGGCGAGGGCGAGUCCCUGGACAACUCCUGACACUGAGGCACGAAAGCUAGGGGAGCAAACAGG